UUCAAACUCUAGAGCUGCCAAGGACUAGCUGUGGGAUUUUCUUCAAGGAUGAAAGGAGAGAAGGCAGAUUCGACUGACCUCAGGGCCCCAGAUGUCAGCAGCCAAGUUCCAGGCAGCAAGACGGAGGAAGGGGCAGAGAAGACAGCAAAGCUACUCAUCUGCCACCUGCCACUUCUUUAUACAUCCUAUUAGCCAGAAUGUAGUCACAUGACCUCAGCUAAACUAGAUAGGAGGCUUGGAAAUGUAGCCUUUUUUUCUUGGUGAAAAUUUUCAGCCCAGCUGAAAAUUCUAUUAUGUGGAAGAAAGAGAGUUGGGAUCUUGAGGGACAACUUAAAAGUUUCUACCAAAACAAAAUUAUCUUGCUGGAUUUAGACUCAUAUGCAUGAAGAAAAACAUUCAUUCAUUCAUCCAAUGGUUUAACUCAACAAAUAUUUAUUGAGCACAUACUACGUGCCAGGCAGUGUUUUAUGGGCUGAGCUACAUUGGUGAAUAAAACACAAUUCCCUGGCCUCAGGGAGCUUAUGCCCUAGCAGGGAGGGAAAGAUAUCAAAUAAUAAAUAUAAGUAAUUAAAUUACAUACUAUAGUAGAAGGUACAGAUUAUUAUAGCAGAAAAGAAUAACAGGACGGGGGCGUGGAAGUCAGCAAGGGUGGUUGCAAUUUUAUGUAGGUAGAUGGGUGGGUCUCAUUGAGAAGAGGACAUUUGUGCAGACUUAGAGGUGAGGGAGUGAGUCUUGCAGAAAUCAGCGGAAAGAGGCUCCCAGGCAGAGGGAACAACCAAUGCAAAUGUCCAAAGGUGGGAGCAUGCAUGAUUGAGUGAUGUUUGCAAAGAAGCAGGAGACCAGAGUUGGCUGGAGCAGAAUGAAUAUUGAGAUGAAAUCAGAGAAAUAAUAGGAGGCUAAUUCAUUUGGGGUGGGCUUUUGCAGCUGUUAUAAGUACUCUGGCUUUUCCUCUGAGUGAAAUGAGAGCUAUUACAGUGUUUGAAGUGGUAGAGUUCUAAAUACAUAGAGUUUAUAAAUAAAUAAACACACCCAUAUACGGGGAGUGGACUAAAAA